AACGCAUAUUGCGCCCUUUGGCAUUCCGAAGGGCAUGCCUGUUCGAGCGUCAUUAUCAACCCUCAAGCUUAGCUUGUUGUUGGAUGAAAUUUUAUCACAAAUUCAUCCCAAAGACAAUGGCGGUGUCUUUUGACCCUUGAUGCAACGAGCUUUUUAAAGCACGCAUUUAAAGUGGUUAAUUGAUUCUAGACCUUUAUCAAUUAAUUUUAAGGUUGACCUCGGAUCAGGUAGGAAUACCCGCUGAACUUAA
rnacentral:misc_RNA from 1 species